ACGAAGGCAGGGAAGGAGAGAGUAAGGGGCCUUCCGGAGUACAGAGAGCUGCGCCAGGUGCGAAGGCAGCCUUCAGGAGCCCCUGAAAGACACUCUGGAGCUGCGCAGCCGAAAGCCACCAGUAGGCUGCGCCGGCUGCUCCCGUUAUCGAGCCCGGGUCAAUGACCCUCUGAGUCACUGGUUGUGAAGCCAGUGAGAACAAAGGUGGUACCACGGGCAAGCCCCCGUCCUUUUU
rnacentral:ncRNA from 1 species